rnacentral:misc_RNA from 1 species
UCAAACUUGGUCAUUUAGAGGAAGUAAAAGUUGUUACAAGGUUUCCGUAGGUGAACUUGUGGAAGGAUCAUUCAUAAUAAAGUGUUUAAUGGCACUUUUUAAAAACCCAUAUCCACCUUGUGUGCAAUGUUUGAUCUCGUCAAUCUUGGCGAGAUUUUUAUACAUCAACUCAUUCUUUAACUGAUUUGUCUGAAAAAUAUUAUGAAUAACUUAAUUCAAAAUACAACUCUCAACAACGGAUCUCUUGGCUCUCGCAUCGAUGAAGAACGCAGC